CAGGCAGAAUGUAUGUACGUAACGUUACACUGUUUCAGACCGGGCAGCAUUCGUGGUAGGACAGAUUCCUUUAUCAUUAACUUUACUUGUGGGAGGAGUAGGGUCCGUAUCAAGGUUACAAAACGUGAAGAUUUAAUUGAAAAAACACACUGAUUCCUGUGUCUUAGUUGGAAUACUUAAAUAUUGUAACUUUUGGAGGAGUGAUGUAUCGGCGACCAUUGCAGUCCAUCGUAAGGAACAUUAUAAAUGUGUCAGCAUCAAGAGCCACCCUUGGAAAGAGAGAGCUGUGAAAGCCUGUUUGCAGAUGAUGAGUUGUCCCAAUGAAGAGCAGCGGUUCUCAGUCCUGGUCCUGGGGACUCAAAGGGGUUAUAUCAGCUGUGUUGGUGAACCUCUCCCGCAUCUGAACUGGCUGACAGAGGGCACAGCAUGAUCAUAGGUGUGAGGUCACUUGGUUAGAUCAACAGGAAGUAUUAUUAAAGAGAUGCUUUACAUUGAAAUACAGAUAGAGAUGUAGUAGUCCCAGAGUUAAUGAUCCAAGGUCAGCUUUGCAUUUCUCCUCCUGAUGGUUAUCAUGACCCUGUUAGAAAAAAAAGCCUUAAUCAUGCUCUCUCUCUCUCUGUCCGUCUCUCGCCUGCAGGUAUGUUUUAAUGUGAGAGAGGAAGCCAGUCCCGUCAUCGCCACCUCACCCGCUCUUAAGAUAACCUUCGGGCCGACUGGGGGCACAAGACUGGUUAGGAGACACCGCUAGAGACACUAUGUAAUUGUGAUGAACUGAGAGAAUAUUAGGGUAGCACUGUAAUUCAUUAAUUAUCUGCGGUCUUCCCUGCUCCUCUGUUCUUAUCUCUUUGCCUUCUACACCUCUCUCCCCACCUCUUUGUUCCUCUUUUUUAUAUAAAAAAUAUAUAUUUAUAGUGCACAGCAUAUGUGCAUUCAAGUACAGAUUGAACUUGUAUUUAUAAUAUUUAUAAUGCAAGUAUUAUGUAUUUAUAACACCUGGAUAAUUAACUUUCAAUAAAGUGUUUCAC